AAGUCGUAACAAGGUUUCCGUAGGUGAACCUGCGGAAGGAUCAUUAACACGUUAUCCACGUAUCAACCAAUGAGAAAUGUUUUCACGUCUCCCUCUGCGGGGAAUGAGCCGGCAAGUUCGGAGGUGCGUUCGAACGGGGUGUCUUCGGGCGCCUGCACCUCCCUACUCACUGUUGGGCGGCAGCGGUGGCAACACCGCGGUCGUCUGCGACGGCUGUAUCCUGCGGCAGAGAUUAAAACUCCUGGCGUCGCCGUCGCCGUUUGAUAUCGACGGCGCUGGGAAACCCCCCCAAAUUCAUAACCACAUUCACCACAUACUUUUGCUAGUUGACAUUUAAUUUGUAUCGAGCAAUCGAUGCACGUUUAAUACUUAAUUGAACGUUAAAAUAAUACAACUCUUAGCAAUGGAUAUCUCGGUUCUC
rnacentral:misc_RNA from 1 species